rnacentral:tRNA from 1 species
GAUUCAGUAGUGUAGGGGUAUCAUGGGCGCUUGCCAUUGCAGCAUUCUGCGCCCGACCCGGGUUCAAAUCCCGGCUGAAUCA